ACACCGCCCGGGCGGGCGCCACACGACCGGGAUCUGCGCACGCGAGCGGCGACGCGAACAUAAAUAAUUUCAGUGAAAUAAACACGCAUCCGCCAACUCUAGCAUGCGAGCGCACGAUUCUGUGAAACAAAUACGAGUAAAGUGAACGAGUCUCGAGUGCAGAGCACGAACAAACGACGGACGGCGCACGACGAGAGAGCGAUUAGGGUUGUGAAAGCCUCUUCGACGAAACGAAACGAGAUCGGCGCCGAAGAAGUGCACUUCUAGGCCUCUCGAAAUACUGUAAAAAUCGCUCGGUGGCCGUCGGACACUAAAAUAAUUCUGCACUGCUCUUGUAAUUAGUCGUAUAAUAACGAAUUAUAACACGAAAUACCCUCUAUCAGUGGCCACGACAGAAGGGUUCCUUAUAUUGUACAUACAUUUAUAUAUGCAUAUAUAAAUUGGUCAAGAGUGAUCUCUAACGUGACGUCACAAUAGCAUAUAGUUAUCUACUACUGUUAAUAAUAAAGCUUUGUUUACUACGCAUUUUAAAAUUUAUCACCCAUUUUUGAUAGUUUUCUAUAUUUGUACGUAUUCAAAUUUGUAAAUAUUUGAACUAAAAAAUAAUAAAAUAUAACAAAAAAAAUAUAAGCGUGACAUUGUGUAAAAGUAACUUUAAUACUAGUCAUUCAUCUAGUGUAUUUAUUUGUUAAUUCAAUCUUGUAGUUUUUAGUGAUUACUUAGAACUAAAUAACUAAGCAGUUUGACAUUCUUCAAAAAAUAUAUAAUAUAUUAAAAAAAUAACAUAUGCCAGAGUGCAUUAUUGACCAAAGAAGGAAUAUCGAUUCAUAAAUACUGGCCGAAAAUAAAUAUUGAUAGAUUCAAAAUUUUGAACGUAUAAACUUAU